rnacentral:rRNA from 1 species
GAUGAACGCUGGCGGCGUGCCUAAUACAUGCAAGUCGAGCGAACGGACGAGAAGCUUGCUUCUUUGAUGUUAGCGGAGGACGGGUGAGUAACACGUGGAUAACGUACCUAUAAGAGUGGGAUAACUUCGGGAAACCGGAGAUAAUAGCGGAUAAUAUUUUGAACCGCAUGGUUCAAAAGUAAAAGUCGGUCGUGCGGUCACUUAUAGAUGGAUCCGAGCUGCAUUAGCUAGUUGGUAAGGUAACGGCUUACCAAGGGAAGGAUGCAUGGCCGACCGGAGCGCGUGUUCGGCCACUCUGAACUUAGACACGGUCCAUACUCCUACGGGAGGCAGCAGUAUGCAAUCUGCCGCAAUGGUCGAAAGCCUUACGGAGCAACGCCGCGUGAGUGAUGAAGGUCUUCGGAGCGUAAAACUCUGUUAUUAGUUAAGAACAUAUGUGUAAGUAACCGUGCACAUCGUGACGGUACCUAAUCAGAAAGCCACGGCUAACUACGUG